rnacentral:lncRNA from 1 species
UUGUUAUGAUGAAGUCCUUAGGACUAUUUAGAUUCGAUAAAGAGAAGAUUUAUCGAUUAGUCCUUAAAACUGUUCACGACCAAAUGAUAGGCUGUUAAUAAGGACGACAGCUUCUAUCGAGCAUAGGUCGCUGUAGGCCAUAUGGGUUGGUUGUCCUCUUAAUCAAGGAGUGUGGAGAUACUGGUAUGGCAUACAGGUG